UUAAAUCUCUUCUUUUUCUUGAAUAUCAUUAUUUUUCUCAAAAUGUUUUCCUCCUAAUUUAGCUAGUAUUCUUCAUACUUUUCGUGUCGUCUUUAAGGAAUGGCUAAUUCAUUAUUUUGAAAUUAUAUGAUAAACCCUUUCUGUUUCGUUUAAUUUCUAAUUUUUUCUUUACCAAAUUCUUUCUUCUAAUUUCUAUUCUCCACUAUAUCCUACUACAAGUAUUGGGAUUCUAAUAAAAGAAUAUUGAAUAAUGCUUUUCCGUUGCUUAAAGUUUAUUCCAUUAAACUUUGACAAGCUAGUUUGAAUAAACUAAUCUAACCGACUGUCCCUAGAGCAAGUGGUGGUAAAGGCCGGGCUUGGUGGUUGGUACCCGAGGUCCCAAAUUCGAAUCCUAGUUGAUUCACAUUUCCAGCUAAAUUUAUUUCUAAAUGAAAUAAACAAAACGGGUAGCGUGCUACCUAUCUCUCUCAAAAAAAGAAAGAAAGAAUAAACUAAUCUAAAUCUAUGAAAAAACUUGAAAAGUCGAAAAAUUAA
rnacentral:lncRNA from 1 species